rnacentral:rRNA from 1 species
UGGGGAAUAUUGCGCAAUGGGCGAAAGCCUGAUGCAGCAACGCCGCGUGAGGGACGACGGCCUUCGGGUUGUAAACCUCUUUUGGCAGGGAAGAAGCGAAAGUGACGGUACCUGCAGAAAAAGCACCGGCUAACUACGUGCCAGCAGCCGCGGUGAUACGUAGGGUGCAAGCGUUGUCCGGAAUUAUUGGGCGUAAAGAGCUCGUAGGCGGUUUGUCGCGUCUGCUGUGAAAACCCGAGGCUCAACCUCGGGCCUGCAGUGGGUACGGGCAAACUAGAGUGCGGUAGGGGAGAUUGGAAUUCCUGGUGUAGCGGUGGAAUGCGCAGAUAUCAGGAGGAACACCGAUGGCGAAGGCAGAUCUCUGGGCCGUAACUGACGCUGAGGAGCGAAAGCAUGGGGAGCGAACA